rnacentral:rRNA from 1 species
UAAGUGAAGAGUUUGAUCCUGGCUCAGAGUGAACGCUGGCGGCAGGCCUAACACAUGCAAGUCGAACGGCAG